GUAACAAGGUCUCCGUUGGUGAACCAGCGGAGGGAUCAUUACCGAGUUUACAACUCCCAAACCCCUGUGAACAUACCUUAUGUUGCCUCGGCGGAUCAGCCCGCGCCCCGUAAAAAGGGACGGCCCGCCGCAGGAACCCUAAACUCUGUUUUUAGUGGAACUUCUGAGUAUAAAAAACAAAUAAAUCAAAACUUUCAACAACGGAUCUCUUGGUUCUGGCAUCGAUGAAGAACGCAGCAAAAUGCGAUAAGUAAUGUGAAUUGCAGAAUUCAGUGAAUCAUCGAAUCUUUGAACGCACAUUGCGCCCGCCAGUAUUCUGGCGGGCAUGCCUGUUCGAGCGUCAUUUCAACCCUCAAGCCCAGCUUGGUGUUGGGAGCUGCAGUCCUGCUGCACUCCCCAAAUACAUUGGCGGUCACGUCGAGCUUCCAUAGCGUAGUAAUUUACACAUCGUUACUGGUAAUCGUCGCGGCCACGCCGUUAAACCCCAACUUCUGAAUGUUGACCUCGGAUCAAGUAAGGAAUACCCGCUGAACUUAAGCA
rnacentral:rRNA from 1 species